AAGAAGGAAGAUGCCUAAUCUUACGUCAGCAUGUCUGAGAUUUCAGACAGUCAGCUAGCUUCGUGUGGCCAGAGUUCCUGGGAGCAAAACUGCACGCGCUGCACGAGAAGUGACUUUCAGGUGUGCCAACAGACCAGCCAGACCUGCUCUUACAAUGUGAUUUUCAAAUUUGGAUCGCCAGGUCCUCUCUGCAGUGCUUCUUUUUUUCUCCGAAAAAUUGGCCUUUUUUUGGAUAGAGGACAUUGAAUGAUAACACUACAAGUCAGCUGACUGCUGUGUCACAGAGCUGCUGCUUUCUACAUUUCCACAACUGCAAGAGCUCUUUCUACUGCAGUUUUCUGGUCGCAGUGCGGCAAUACAGACGCACAGGACGGGAUACGGAACGCCAUUAUAUUUUUUUGGUCCGGGGAGUUACCCUUCUGUCUGUUUCGGAUACAAAAAAGGAUUGCUGUGUUUUUGGAUAAGAGCAAGGAAGUGGCUUGUACAUAAACGCUGGCAUCGAACUUGCUACGUUUCCCAGCCUUGUUCAGAGUCUGGAUUCCAAAAUGCUUCCGAAGAAUGAAGAAACAUCUGUUUUCUCACCUUACAUGAUAGUUUUCUGUGCCACGCUAGUAUACCUGCAAGGAGUAGGAUCCCUAAGACAAAGGAUCCGAUGCUUACUGGUGUCUCUGUCUGGGGCCUUUCCAGCCAUUCUACAGAUGAAGCUUUCCUAUACGUCCGGAUCUACCUAUAAUGCUGGAAAGACAGUAGGAUGCUAUUUAUUUUUCACAUGAUGAGGAAAAAUGGUUAAAAAAAAAAGGAAGAGUGUCCAGACUUGCUGACCUAAAUCAAUCCCAAUCCUUGUCUGGAUACAGGGCAGGAGCCGUCUAGCAGUGACACAACCAGCCAUCAUGUGGAGAAUAUCUAGGAUUGCAAUGCCUGUUGGAUGGAGCUUUCCUGAUUGAAACACAAUACUUUUUCUUCUUGUUUUAUUAUUUUGCUUUUGGAUCUUUGUCUACCUGCUGCUGCUUCUGCCUGAUUGCAUUUUCUCUCUUUGCAGCAUUGAGUUGUGCCUGGUCUAAGUGCACAUUCGUGUGGAUUAGUCUGUCUGAAAUGCAGUCCUCAUUUGCUCCUGCUGGAAACCAGGACACUAAGUCAGCCUGCUUUAACAGUUGUUUUGCGUGAUGCUAUGCAGCUAGGAAGCCUUGCACGCUGACAACAAAGGAGGAAGCACAAAGCAUCACUUUAUCUUCAGGGUUGUUACAGGAGCAUAACUCUUCUCCGAUAUGAUGCCUCCUCCUUUUCCUUCAUUUCUUCCUUUUGUUUCUAAUUCAUCUAAUCGAAGAACCUAACAGAUAUCGUCAUGGAUGUGUGUGUGUUUUUUUUUUAUGAUUUGGGGAAAAAAAUACAACCUAUGGAGACCGCAGCACAUUUUAGGUUAUUGCCAAUUUGAAAUACUUGGUUUGUUGAAGCUGAGCCCUUAGGGACAAGCUCAGUAGCUUAGAAAGAGAUCGUAGAUAAAGAAAUAAAAAUGACAAGCGUAAUGGAGGCUGUGGAAGAGACACUGUCAGAGACUCAGUUCAUGGGUUCCUCCAGUCUGAAGCUGAAUAAUUCAUAGAUUGAAAUUACCCUGCUUUCACCUUUCCAUUUAAAGCGACAUGAUCUGAAUCGCUAAUAAAUUUUCAGGAUAUAGUAAAAUGGCAAUUUGAAUCUGAAGUGCUUUCGAAACCAGAUGCUGAAUCCUGAAUCUUUCGAUAUCUUUCACAAUUAUCCGGUGAGAAUUCCCCUUCAUCACGAAGCAGCUUUACCGAGGAAAAUUACUGUGAUUACAAUAGCGACAAUAGAAUGCCAUCAAAUGAUCUCUAAUUUGCCUAAUUUUGAAAGAAUGACAAUCUUACUUGAAUGGCUACUGCGACACAAAGUCUGGCAACCGUGGAUCGAUGUCUUGCUAUAACCUAAUGUUAAAUGCUUAAAAAUAGUUAUAAUUCUCGUUUGUGCACAACGUAAAAUAGAUCUGAUACUGCCUACCUUUGUUUUCAACUCACUGUUUUUUCCCCCCCAAUUAGCAUGUGCCAUUCUAUCGUCAUGUUGCUUCACACUUUUCUAUAAUUACAGUGCUAUACAGGUGAAUGUCAAUUCGAUUUUGCCGGCCCACACAAUGGUCACUGUAAGCUGUGUGUGUACGCUUAAAUUGUCUGUACAAUGCGAUCUGCGUGCUUUUGUUUCUUUGUGGAGUAACUUUCAGUGAGUGGCCUCAGUCGUGCAGGAUCUGUGCACCUGCUGCAGAAAAGAUACAUAUAAAGCCUGUCAAGCUACACUUUUCCACAACUUUAAUGCACUUCUUGCUCAAAGGAGCCAGACACGCGGCUUUUGGAACAGCACAAAAUCUGACCACGUGUGGGCAGAGACAGGAAUCUUCUCAAAUGUUUAAUGCAGAGAGGCUAGGUGUGCACCAAGUUCUAUCAUCCAUACAGAACCAUAGGAAUGAUGAGCAUGUGCAAUCUGUACACGCUGGCGCAGCAUUAUUUUCUUGGAUCUUAAUUUUUAUCUUGUUGGAAAUAUGGGUCCUAGUUGCAGAGUAUAUCUCAACUCAAAAUCUUGCACACAGAUGUCUUCUGGAUGAUCACAUGACUUGUUGGGACCUCUCCUUUCUUGUCCCUCUUUUAGUGGUCGGUGGUUCUGGAUGACACAGAGAUCACCACUGACGUGAUGACAUCAACACUAUCUCAGCAUCAAGCCCAUGCAAAUGCAUUGUGUCGUGUUCAGGGAGCAGGAACGUGAUGCGCUACAUUCAAAGUCUUACAGCUUGAACCCAAAAGACUGAGAACAACUUGUGAUGAUGAAGAGGUAUUGUGGGGACAGCUCCAGACUAAAGCACCAGAAGAUCACCACUGUGGAAAUAUCCGGUAUCAGUGGAUGGAAGAUUUCUAUGGUAAGCAGCAGCCAGCAGCACAUGGAAUAUACUUCAUUAGAGAUUGCUUCACAAUUGGAGCUAUGGAAGAUCCAGGAUUCAUUACCAGAACUGAGAUAGUUCAGAUUAAUAAUGGAGGAAUAAAAAUUCACUGGUGAAACAGAGAAGGUGAUUGGUGAAAGGCUGUAUGGACAUGGCCAGCUUUAUUGAUGAACUUACAUUCAACCCCUGAUGAAGAAAAAAUUAAGAAACACAUAUGGCCACACAAGAAUUUAGAAUUGUUGUGAUAUGGAGUGUUAGUAAAGCAUAUGGAUAUUACAUAAAUAUGUAUCAGCCAGCAAUUUUGUAACAGAAUGUUUUAAGGUCAACUAAGCAGAUCUCGUGGAUAUUGAGGCAACUGGUACAAUUGCUGUAAAUGUAUCAAGUGGCUGGGACAUUUUUAAGCCCUGUUAUAUAGCAAACAAUAAGCACCAUGCUAAACUGUUAUUGUUGUAUUCAGUUUGUUGCUGUUUUAAAUCCAUCACCUUUAAAUAAUAAAGAAAAAAAGGUAUUCAGUGGCUAAACAUUUAUUUCUCAUAUUGUGUGUGCACUGCCUCAUUUCCUUUUGAUUUCUGCACAUAUAUCUCUUCUAUUGCUGUAGCAGUUGUUAUCAGCUGCCUGCAGAAUUAAUUUGAUUGAGACUAUUGAAAGUGUGCUAGACAGAGAGAAUGAGAUCAUUGCAUUCAUAGCUGACACAUUUUUUUCUGUGUGUGCAACAAACAUUUUUCAAAGCGAAGCAAUUUAUUGCAUGAUAUUUAUAAUGAAUUCAUUCUUUGUGAAUGUCUAAAAUCACAUUCUGUGCUAUGUGAUAACAGCUUAGUACAUUAGUAUUACAUAAUUAUUAGUGUAAGUUAUUGUAAAUCAUAGCUGAGGACUGUGUAGUUAGCAUUUAUUCCAUUUGCUUGUGUAGUUUUUUUAAAUUAAUGCUGUGAAAGGAAAAUAAGUCAUGUAUUUAUUUAUACUGUAAAAAUUAUUGUAGAGACUUAAAAAUACAUUUUGUUAUUAUUCUUCUUUGUUUCCCUUUUAAUAGGAAUAUCACCAGUAAGAUUUUUCUAGCCACUACCAUAAUAAUGCAUAUAAUAAUAGAAAUAAACAUAGAGAUGUGAGGAGGUUGAUUAAAAAAAUAUAUAUAUCUUUACACGGAAGGCUUUUUUAGAUAUUUCUGUGGCUUUACAGCAAGUUUUCAUAAAUAUAGGUAUUUGCAAAAGAUACACACAUUUAUACAUUUAAGUAGGUUUUUAUUUGGGUAUAAACAUUUUAUAGGGAUACCUAGGCCAAGUGCUGUGGAUCAUCCCAUACCCCUUCAACCUGUUUCAGGAAUCACCUAAGAACAGCUUUAAGGGCAUUCAGGAUCCCAGAGACCUUCAUUGUUUUCUCAGGAACCCAGCCAAUAGGUUUGCCAAACAACAAUUGCAUCAAACAACACCAAUUUAUUGGGGCUCUUAGAGUAGUUACCUUAACAAUCCCCGGUGAAAAAAAGAAUUGUCAAAGUCUAAAAAAGACAAGCCACACUGCCCAAGCAUAAUUUAGGUUUCCCAUUUUUUGAAGGAUGAUAAUAUAUACCAAUA